AAAAUCAUCCACAAAAUAGAGUCACGCAAUAAAUAAAUUGGGAAUAGGACUAGUAAAUGUUUUAAUUGACAAUCAAUCUAAGACCUUUUUCUUUCAGAGAAAGUGUCAGUUUUUUACUACAGUUUCCACACCCAAUCGGGUCAAAACAAAAACAAUACACAUUAAUUAAAAAAAAAAUUCCCAUUUCCUAUAAUCUUUUCUUUUUCGACAAACGAGAAAUAACCCAAAAACA
rnacentral:misc_RNA from 1 species